ensembl:lncRNA
CCUCCUUCUUUCUUUCUCUCUUUUUCCCCCUUCUCUCUCUUUCUCUGUGUGUGUGUAUGUCUCUCUCUCUCUUUCUGUGUGUGUGUGUGUGUGUGUGUGUGUGUGUGUGUGUGUGUGUGUGUGUGUGUGUGUUUGAGUAUUCCAGUGUGUUGGGAGAAGGUGACGCGGUGAAAUAAGAACCGUGACACAAUGGAUGCAUUGGGGGAACUUGUGUGAGACACUGGCUUUUUCUCUGCACUCUGUGGACUAUCACUGUGAGAUUUCAGUAGGCCCAUUUAUAAAGAAGCUGCUGACUCAUGGGGUAGUCAGACUGAAAGGGACCUAUAACAGAGGGUGAGUCAAGAGUGAGGAAGCAAUUGGAACAGGUGGUGAUAUGGGCAGCAUGUGGCUGGCAGAAAUGAUGAGACAUUGUUGAGUUCUUUCACUGUUUAGGUGAUAACCAGUGAGAAUGCCUAUGGAUGUGGGGUAUGAAAGAGAGAAGGAAUGCUAAGUAACUUCAAGGCUUAGUGGGCAACAAUCAGAACAAUUGGAGGAACGUAUUGCUGCAGAAAGGGGAUUAGGUUCUCAUUGGGUGUGUCACCUUUCUGACUUCAGUUGAGAUAGCUGGGAGACAGGAGUAAUUCAUAGGACUCAGUUGUAGACACUCUGUCUGCAUAGUCCUAAUAUAAACCUGUGACACUAGAUGUGUUCAUUGAAUGCACUGUUUAAGAUAAAAAGCAGAAUACAUUUAAAGCAUAACAUCUAAACUACUUGAGCAUUAAAAGGUCUUGGGACAAAUCAGAACAAAUAGGAAGAAAAAAACCAAAACAAAUGGAAAUAAAGAACCUGUAUUGUAUAGUUCUUCAAACUCUGCCACUGCAUUGCUGUUACUACAAUAUAAAGUAGGACCUGAGGUUUGGCCAUUGCUUGCCUCUGUGGUCUCUGGAGACUGUGGUGAUACUGUGGUUAUAGGGUUCUGUCAUGUAGGAAGGAGCUCCUUGAAACAUUGAAAACAUGUUCCCUACAGGUUGCUUCAGCUACACAGAUCAUGCCUAUUUGUAAGUAUAAUUUGUGAAAUGCUUUAGUGACUUAGAAAACACAGCUGGUUUUACUCUAUCACCUCAGAGGAGCACCAUUCUAGCAGCUGAACAAAGUUGUAGUAUUUGCUAAUGGAAGCCCUGUUCACAAAGACAGUUUCUAGAGUGGAAUCAAAAGAAAGAAAAGGGAAGAACCAAACAUAUGCACAAAAUAAAAGGAUGCACAAUUCUUACCAUUGGGAAGCCAAAAAAGUAUAAAAAGUAAAAAUAAAGUUGUGUCUUUAUUUAGAAGGAUUUAGAAUCACAACAAUAUUAUGUGUCACAUGCAAAUGGAAAACUCAGUGAGGCACGGUUUUCUGCCCUUGAUACUGGACAUGGUUUAUGGUGUUGUCUCCUUUAAUCUUUCCUUGUGAGAGGAAAAAGAAACAGAGACAUAUAGUUAACAAUAACAUUUAAAACUGCAUGUGUCAUUUGUCCAAACUUACAGUCACAGCACCCAGAAAAUGCAUAGGAUACAGUAAACAAUCAGUGAAGGCUUGCUGAAUAUGGCAGUGGUUUGAAUUGUGUUUGUAUUCACAGUCCUUGAGCCUUUGCUGAAGAGUCUCCAGGCAGUUUUCCACAGUCUGUCUAUACAGCUCUUCACUUGGGCAUUUUUAGUUGGGAGAGUGAGCAUCACAGGACACACUUAUUCACAAGCUAAUUUAUCAAGACCCAAGAGCAGGCUUUUCUAUUUCUACAUGUGACCCAGACAUGUUUGACACAAUUUCAGUGUUCAACAUAAUCACAGAUUUGUACAUUCAAAAGCCACUUCAUUAUGCAAGUUGUAUUAACAUUUGUUAUCCUGCCAAAUAAUUCAUUCAAUAAAUUUAAAUUUAAAAUAUGUCUUAAAUGCUGAUGUUUUACUGAUUAUAAAAUAACAUAUGCUUAUUAUAGGAAGUUGGGAAUAUGCAGAAAAAUCCAAAGAAGGAAACCCUUCACUCUCAGUCCCAGAGUUAACAGAAAACACUUUUCAAAGAUUUGGUGUGAUUUUCUUUUGCCAGUCAUUAAAAGUUCAUUGCUCUGGAAGUAACUGUAAUAAUAACUCCAUUGCUUAUUCACACACAAGGUGAAUUACCUGACCUAAAUGUACCAAAAAAUCUGUGAAGAAAAGGAAUUAGUGUUAAGACAUUUCAUGAGUGAGAUAAACAAGACAAGGAGACUGGGCUGCUUUCUCAAGGUUGCAGUUAGAGCCCUACUGACGCCAUUGAACUCACCCCUCUGGUUUCAAGUGCUGUUAAAUCUAACUUCUCUCUGGUUGAUAAAGGUCUAUUCUGCUUUUACAUGUCCAUCACAAACACUUUAACAAUUAAACAUUCCUCUCCCUAUCCUUCAUUGAUUGAGCCCCUUGAAGACACAGCCUUCCUAGGCCUUGCUCUCUGAUUCCACAUGCUCCUUUAUAACGAUACACUUGUUCUUAGGUUUGUGGUCUCCUUUUGUUGUUUGACAAAAAAAAUAUUUGAAAUAUAAAUUAUUGACAAGACAAGAGUUGCUGAAUAAAACAAAUUGUCCAGCAGGUGACAUUCUGCGUCUCACUCCUAAUGCUGCUUUUGGGGUCCACCACUUUCUUGCCUGCCUCGCGAAUGUCAGUACAGGCUGAGGUGAACCCUUUCCAUGAAUUAUUACUUUCAAAAUCUUAUGGAGGAAAAGGGCUCAGUGCUUUGCAGUUUGAAGGCUGGGGCAGAUUUGUCAGACAUGGUUUGACACUUCGUGAAUCCAUCCGCUGGAUAACAGUAAGACUCAUUUCCCAGCAGCAUCAGUGGUUCUCUCAAGGAGAGGGUGGUUAGGCUUAUUUUCUAUAAGGAAGCCUGCUGCAUUAAAAAGGGAAAUAAAUACUCUGCUUUCGUUUUACUUUUAUUUUCUCUAGAGAAGACAGAAUCACUUCUUUGAGGUGCCCAACUUUGAAAGGUCUGCUGAGGUUGCUAUUAUCAUCGUUUGUUACAGUGGCUUUAAAAAACAAAACAAAAGAUGCCUAUAUUCAGUGUGUCUCUUCAGAACUUAUUUUAUUUUCAACACCCAGUCCUGCUUCUUUGCUGAUCUUUUGCAUGAUGCUGUGCUGGCAUUAGCUUUGCUAUUUAUGAUUUCUACAUUUCCAUUAUGAUGCUCACAUGUUUAUUUUAGUGCAGAAAUAUAUUUCACCAACUCUAAAAACCCAAACCAUUAGAAUAUACAUCUGCCAUUGAAAUCUUGCUGAUUGUAUCCACAAAUGAAAAGAGAAGACCCUUGCUCCCAUUUUAAUCCAUUAAAAUGGAUAGUUCAUUAUCUCUUCUUAGGUCUCCAGGAGGCUGGAUAUCUACUGGGGGGCUGGGGAGGGGGGGUACAGAGCCAUUGUUUACUAUGAUGAACUACUAAAACCUGUCUGCAUUUCAGUUGCAAACCCAGAGGCAUGGCCCUGCCCCAUUUAGGGAAUGUCUUCACAUUGCUUAACUCUGUGUUCCUAUAGGGAAAUGCACACAAUGUUUUUUCUGUAUAAAGCAUAAAGAUGAAAUUCGAAAGCCUGGCUCUGCUACUCAAUACCCAGACUGGAAAGGAGAUCACAUUGAUGCUUUCUACAAGGAACCUUAUUUUUUGUUGCCACAGUCCUCCAAACUGUGACCCUUUUAUCUUUGCCUUCAUAAUAUCUAACACACUUCUCCUGGGGAUGAAUGUUAUGUUACCCUAUUAUUUCCUGCAUUUCUGGUCAUACAUUAAAAACUAAUGUACUUUAUAUUUGUAAUUAUGUAUAAAGUCACAAAUUUCAUUUUUUAUUUGUCCAAUCAUAUUAAGUAAGCAGUUUCCAAAUACAGUAACUUUUACCUAGAGUCAGAUAUUGAUAAUUCUUUAGUUAAUUUGUUAUUAUUUUGGAGUAUUAUGUGUCUGUCUUUGAAGCUGAGAUGUGUUUCUUGUAUGCAAUGGAAGAAUGGAUUCUGUCUUCAUAUCCAUUCUGUUAGCCUGUAUCUUUUUAUAGGCAAGUUAAGAUCAUUGACAUUGAGGGAUAUUAAUGACCAUUGAUUGUUGAUUCUUUUUUGUUUUGGAUUUGUUGGUGGUGGCGUUAUUGUGUGUGUAUUUCCCCACUUUUUUUUUUUUGGUAAAGUGGGAUUUCCCGUGGUUUUUUUGAGUGUAGUUAUAUUUAUUACGUUGGAGUUUUCCUUCCAUUAAUUUCUGUAGGGCUGGAUUUGUGGACAUGUGUUGCUUAAAUCUGGUUUUGUCAUGGAAUAUCUUGGUUUUCCAUCUAUAGUGAUUGAAUGCUUUGCUGGAUAAAGUAGUCUGGGAUGACAUCCAUGUUCCCUUAGAGUUUGUAGAACAUCUAUCCAUAAUCUUCUGGCUUUCAAAGUUUCCAUUGACAAGUCGGGUGUAAUUCAGAUAGGUUUGCCUUUGUAUGUUACUUGGCCUUUUUCUUUUGCUGCUCUUAAUAUUUUUUUUUUAUUCUGUACGUUUGGUGUUUUGAUUAUUAUGUGGUGAGGGGACUUCCUUUUGUCGUCCAAUCUAUUUGGUGUUCUGUAAGCUUCUUGUACUUUCAUAGACAUAUCUUUCUGUAGGUUAGGGAAGUUUUCUUCUAUGAUUUUGUUGAAUCUGUACCGUUGUGCUGAAUUUCUUCACCUUCUUCUAUACCUAUUAUUCUUAGGUUUGGUCUUUUCAUGGUGUCCCAUAUUUCCUGGAUAUUUUGUGUUAGGGAUUUGUUGGACUUGAGAUUUUCUUUGGUCUGUAUAUCCUCUAGUGAGUCUUCAACACCUGAGAUUCUCUCUUCUAUAUCUUGUAUUCUAUUGGUUAUGCUUUCAUCUGUUUACCCAGCUUUUCUAUUUCCAGCAUCCCCUCAUUCUGUGUUUUCUUUAAUGUUUCUAAUUGUGCUUUCAAACCGUGAACUGUUUGAAUUGUUUCCUUCACUUGUUUGGUUGUUUUUUCUUGGUUUUCUUUAGAUUCUUUAAGGGAUUUGUUUAUUUCUUGAAUUUUUGAUUUGUCUUUUCCUCCAUUUCAUGUAAGUUUUUGCUUGUUUUUUCUUCUAUUUCUUUAAGGGAUUUUCUUUUUUUCCUCUUUAAUAGUCUGUAUCAUCUUCAUAAGAUAAUUUUUAAGGUCAGUCUCUUUUUCAUCUUCUGCAUUGGGCUUUUCAGUUCUUGCUUGUGUAGAGUCCCUAGAUUCUGGUGGUGUCAUAUUGGUCUUUCUGUUGUUGAGUGUGUUCUUAUACUGUCAUCUUCCCAUCCCUUCUUCCAGUGGGUGCAGGUGGGGUCUCUCCCUCUCUCAGGUGGCAAGUGGAAGGCUCAGGCAGCAGACUCAGGUGGCAGCUGGAGGGAAGAGGGCAGUGGGUGGACAAGGGUUAGGUGUAUCCGGACUCAGGGUGGGCCUUCCGGUCUGGGAAGUUCCACUGCACUAUUGUUGCGGGGACGGCUCAGGCAGAAGCAAUCAGGGGGUGAUGGGGAGGUUGGGGGUAGAGCAGCUCCCAGACUCACUCAGGUGGCAGGUGGAGGGCAGAAGGCAGAGGGCAGAGGGUGGACAAGGAUGAGGUGUGUCUGUACUCAGGGUGCCCCACCACAUCCCCCAUCAGCUAUUUUCUUUGAUGAUAAAAUGUCUCUAAGGGGUCCUAUUUGCUUAUCCAGAACAAGCCUCCAUUAGAACCACAAAGGUCCAUUUAGUGAGUGAGUAUAGACUUGAACACUUUUGGUGGUCAGGCAAAACACUAUUAUUUUAUUCUAUGAGAUGUUGUGUCCCAACAGGCAUUUGUGUUUGUAAGUGAUGUGGAAAGGAAUGAGUAGCCACUGAGCCAUUUAUCCUGACUAUGUAAGUUAUUAGUUAUUAUGAAAUACCAUAAACAAAAGUUUUCUAACAUCCUUACAUAGCACAAAGAAUGUGAAAUAGUAAUUAUUAUUAUACUUAGUUAGUUAUAAGUUAACUAGAUAAGCUCAGAGUCAUAUCAGUUGGGUCUAGUAAAUACUUGUCUAUCAGUACACCACCUGAGUUUUGAUAAAAUACCAUAAACAACAGUGCAGAAUGCCCAGAGAGGAGACUAACUGUUUAUGCCAGCCAGAAUGAUAAUUCUCAUCAUCCAUAAACUACUAACAGAAAUCUCACAAUAACCACCACCCAUUCAAACUCUACAAAUCAGGCAAAGGAACAGGAACAAUGAAGAGAAUAGUCCAAUCAAUAGAAGGCAACAGAACAUAUCUUAAAAUUGGCAGAGGAUAUAAUAUACUUAUUUUGACUGUAUUUCAUAUAGUAAGAACUAUGAGUCUUUAAAGAAAGAAAUUAAAGAAUAUACCAGAAAAUGGAAAGAUCUCCCAUGCUCCUGGAUAGCUAGAAUCAACAUACUAAAAAUGGCAAUCUUGCCAAAAGCAAUCUACAGAUUAAUGCAAUUCCCACCAAAAUCCCAACACAAUUCUUCACAGACCUUGAAAGAACAGUACUCAACUUCAUGUGAAAAACAAAAAACCCAGGAUAGCCAAAAAAGCCCUAUACAAUAGCAGAACUUCCAGAGGCAUCACUAUCCCUGAAUUCAAGCUCUAUUAUAGAGCUAUAGUCCUGAAAACAGCUUGGCAUUGGUACAAAAGUAGGCAGGUUGAACAAUGGAAUCAAAUUGAAAACCCUUAUAUUAACCCAUAUACCUUAUGAACACCUGAUUUUUGACAAACAACCUAAAUUUGUACAGUGGAAAAAAGAAAACAUCUUCAACAAAUGGUGCUGGCAUAACUGGAUUCAGACAUAUAGAAGAUUGCAGAGUGACCCAUAUCUAUCGUCAGAACUAAACUUAAGUCCAAAUGGAUCAAAGAGCUCAACGUAAAUUCAGCCACACUGAACCUCCUAGAAGAGAAGGUAGGUGGUACCCAUGAACAAAUUAGUACAGGAGACCAUUUUCUGAACAUAACAGCACUAGUUCAAAUAUUGAGAUUGACAAUUAAUAAAUAGGACCUCCUGAAACCAAGAAGCUUCUGUAAAGCAAAGGACACAGUCAGCAAGACGAAAUGCCAGCCUACAGAAUGGGAAAAAUUAUUCACCAACCCCACAUCUGACAGAGGGCUGAUCACCAAAAUAUACAAUGAACUCAAGAAGCUAGCCACCAAAACACUAAACAAUGCAAUGAAAAGAUAAGAGUACAGAAAUAGAGAAUUCUCAACAAAGGAAUCCAAAAUGGCUGAAAAACACUUGAGAAAGUGCUCAACAUACACCCAAAGAAUGCACACUCAUACAAUAAGGACAUAUGUUCAACUAUGUUCAUAGCAGCAUUAUUGUAAUAGCCAGAACCUGGAAACAACCUAGAUGUCCCUCAACUAACGAAUGGAUAGAGAAAAUGUGGUAUAUUUACACAAUUUCCCCACUCUGUGGGGGAAAACAACAACCAAAAAAACAAUGGAAUCUUGAAAUUCGCAGGCAAAUGGAUAGAAGUAGAAGAAACCAUCCUCAGUGAGGUAACCCAAAUCACUAAAAGAUAAACAUGGUAUGUACUCACUCAUUUUUGAUUUUUAGACAUAGAGCAAAGUAUCACAAGCCUACAUUCCACAUUGCCAGAGGAGCUAGGAAACAAGGAGGACCCCAAGAGAAGAUUGCAUAGGCUCUUGAAAAAGGGGAUGGGGACAAGAACCCCUGACCAAACUGGAGCCCGUGGGCAGGGAGAGGAAGGAGAGGCUUCAUCCAGUUGCUGUUUGAAGCAAAAACAGACAACCAUAGCUAGGCACUGAACAAUACUACUGGAAUUCGGUUGUGGAGAGGGAGGAUUGUUGAGCAAACUAGCCAAGACGGUGAUGACGAAACCUACAGAAAUAUUGGACCUGACCUACUGUCAUAAAGCUGGGGAAACAGCAUUGGACCAAACCAAACCCUCUGAAUGUGGGUACCAGCUAGGAGCCCAAGAGAGUCUAUGGUUCCUCUAACAGUGGAGCCAGUCUUUAUCCCUAGGGCACAAAUAGACAUUGGGAGCCCAUUCCCUAUGGAGGGAUACAAUUGCAGCCCAGACACAGCAAGGAGGGUCUAGAUCCUCCCCCAAACAAUAACACAGACUUUGAAUGUCCUUGGUGGAGGGCCUCACUAUCCCUGGGGAGGAUUCGGGGUGUGUAGUAGGGUGGGGUGUGUUGGUUGGGGAACAUGGGAGGAUGGGAGGGUGAGAGAAUGGGGGAGAUGGAUAUGUAAACAUGAGUAAUUAAAAAUAAUUAAAAAUGAAAAAAGAAACCAGCUGAUAAGCUGAGGAGAGAAAGUAAGAAGAUAAUUGGCCAAUGCCCAAAUUCAUCCAUCCUAGACAACACGGAGAUUAUAAGUGGAAGAUGACUUUGUCAUAUACAUAUAAGUUGAAAGAAAGAAAUUGUGCUUAUUCAUCUUUUCUGGAGAUACAUUCUGAAGGAAUGUAGAAGAGUAAUCCUAACCAUAAUGUUUUGCCCAGGUAAGUAUACUACAUUUCAGUGGUCUAGUGGAUACCAUGACCAACCAGUACAUCUUUAUAUCUUACAGGCUCAGGGACUGGAACCUGUCAUAACUGUGAAACUUACACAGCACCGACUGCAAAAUGCUGUCUUUAUUAGUUGAGGUAGCGAGUGGAAGUUACUGGCAUACGGUUUGCAAUUUUGUGACCUAAUUAAAGAACUCACUUUCAGUCUUGCAGUCAACCCCAACUUAAAUUAAGCAUAGUGAGGUGAACAGAAUUCUUCUCUUGGCACAAAAUAUUAAUGUAACCUUUGAUCUCUCUGAUCUCUGGUUAUAUUAUAUCAGCGGCAACAAAAAAAAGAACAUUGUAGCUGUAAUGGUUACUUGUUGGGCCUGAGAUGCCUAGAUCAUGCUGCCCAUAUCUGGAAAUAGUUACUUCCAUGGUGGUUGGAACAGAUUUGUAAAUACAUGUUGUCAGUUAGAGAUCCUCAAAAAUAUUGGCAAGAGGGAAUACUGACAGAUCAAAACAAGGCCCGUGGGGUCUUGGGGCUUUGCAUACAGGCAUCAAUAAAAAUUUAUUUACCACCUUUAUAAAGUACUUUGGCAUGACUGGUGGCAGUAGUCAAGUAUUAAUCUAUACAAUUCAAUUAUAUAAUGAGGUAAUUUAAUAAAUUAGAAAAGUCUUAGGGAGCCCUGCUUUGAAUAAGGCACUGUAGUACUUUCCACACAGGAUUAAUGAGUUAAUUCAUGGCCUAUCCAAAAAAUAAUGUGUAUAGUUUUGCAGAAGGAACUUGAAGAGUACAAAAAUCCAGAGUGUAAGGCAGAGAACAAAACUGUAUUUUUUAUUAGUGUUGCAUAUAGAUAGGUAGUCAGUUAGUGCUUGUUUUUCAGCAGAUAAUAUAAGAAAUAGACAGUGCUAAAGAGCUUGUAGCUCCUUCUGUUUACCUGAUUCAGAAUUGCCUUAAUAGGAGGUGACAUCAAGCCCAUGCUUAAAUAGCAGACAGUAGUUUAAACAGGUAGGAGAGCAUUUUAGAAACUGAAACCAAGAAGUGGAAAAGUGUGGCAAUGUUUUUAGGUUGGAUGGAUUACUAUGGGAGCCACUGAAGAGAAGCCUAGAAAGUUCAGGGACGGUGUGGAUUUUAUUGACUAUUAAAGGCAAUAAGGAAUCAUCCAGGGUUUUAAAGGAGAGAAAUAAAGGAUUAUCAGUCUUUGCAUUAUUUCGCUAGUCCAAAUGAUUUUUCCAUUUAACAUUGACCAUAGCCUUUCCAGACCAAAUAAAAAGCUGGAGUACUUUGCAAAUGCAACACCUUUCUCCCUAAGCCAGGAGGGGCACAGUACUGAUUACCUUCCAUUUCCAACGACCUACAUGUCAUUCACUUUGCAUUUCUUUUAUUUUUUAUUAAAUUUAAGUUUUUAAAUUUUAUUUUACAAUUCAACCAAACCAAAGUUCUCCCUCCCAUCCCUCCUCCCCCCCAUUACCUCCCCCCCCCGCUACACCCCCUCACCUACUCCUCCCAACAGGUAAGUACUCCCAUGGGGAGUAGACAAAUUCUGGCACAUUAAGUUGGGGCAGGACUAAGCCCGUCUCCCACGCAUGAAGGCUGAGUAUGGCAACCCCUCAUAGGGAAUGGGUGUCAACAAGCUAGCUCAUUCACCAGGGAUAGCCCCUGGUCCUACUGCCAGGGUCCCUUCAGAUAAACCAAGCUUCACAAUUGUCUCCUGCCUAUGAAGGGCCUAGUUUCCUAUGGGAAGUAUUUUCCUAAUGAUGAAAAAAUAUUUUAAGCUUGAAGGAAUAUGAAGGAAGAUUGGAAGCUUAAUAACAUAUUAACAUGGGUACCCAAGUUAUUUUGUUUUUAAAAUAAUUUUAAUUACUUUUAAAUUUAAAAAUAUUUUAAAAAUCAAAUGUUUCAUUAUUUUGAUGUGGCUAAUUAUCUUGGUACAACAGACAUAUGGAACAGAAAACAAGGUACUGGGUAUGAAGUUUAAUUUUUGCUGUGUGGUUAACUUGAAUGGACAAAGCACUGAGGUUUUUUUGUUUUUUCUUUAGCAACACAGAUACACACACACACACACACACACACACACACACACACACACACACACACACACACACACCUGAUAAAGGAUGAAAGUAGAAAUAAAGUAUUAUUUCAAAGAAGAAAGGAAGGUAGAAGGGAGGGAGGUAGGAAGAGAGGGAGGGAAGAAAGGAGGAAAGCCCUGAAGGUGAAACCUACUUUUAUUUAAUCAUGUGUGCUAUAAAACUGACUAGAAAGAAGACAAGGUUAAAAGCCAUUGAAACUAAGGCUGGGGAGGGACCAGAGAGAAGAGCAUUCAAAAUGUACAGUUAAUAUGGAAACCAGUGUGUUUGCUGAAGAAACACAGCUCCAUGAUCAGUUGCUUGGGUCUUUUCUCCAUCAAAAUAACUCUUCUUAGAAUCUCUGGUAUAAAAUUUUUAGCUUUCAUUGUCUGACACACAAUACCCUCCAAUAAUCUAUUAUAUUGCACCACAAAAAGGUAUUAUUUUAGUAAGCUGAGUGGUUCAGCAGUUGAAAUUGCAUGGGAUUCAACCUCCUCCUCCUACGGUUCCAACAGAGAUGUGCAGAAGAGGCAUUCCAGAGCAGUGUAUGCUCCUGCUUCUCUAACUUCUGCCAGGUCUGACACCCUGACAAACUGGGUGGAUUAGUGAGGGAUUGUAAGAAACUGUUCCUGAAGAGAAGAACAUGCACCCAAGUUGCAAUGGUUUUCAGAAGUGGUUCUAUCUGUUACCCAUUCCAACCCCAUCGAUUUUUGUCCCAGGCUUCACAUGGUCUGAUUAGUGGAAUGUGUGGUAAGGGUGGAAAUUCCUAAAGGAUAGCUCAACUACAGAAGUAGCAUAUUCCUAUACCUGGAAAGCAUCAUUCUAGCUGAAAAGUCUUGGGAGAAUUGCUAUUUGAAAGGAAAAGAAAGGAAAAAUCUCUCCAUGAAAAAACUGAAUGAGCAACCAGCACCAUGUCUGGGAGCAUCAAGUAUCUGACCAUCUACACCCUGGUUGAGCUGCUAGAGAUCUUCUAUGUGCUCCAAGAGUAUCCUUUCCCCUCCUUUUUUUAAAUUUAGAGAUAGUCUUAUUUUACAUAUCAAUCCCCCCAUUCCCUCUCACUCCUAUCCUCCCAUGCCCCUUACCAACCCCUAUCCCUCUCCAAGGAUGGUGAGGCCUUCCAUGGGAGAUCAUCAAAGUCUGUCACAUCAUUUGGGGGAGGGCCUAGACCCAGCUGCUUGUAUCUGGGCUGAAUUAGUAGCCCUCCAUAGGGAAUGGGCUCCCAAGUAACUUUCAGUGAGUUUCUGAUAUCCCCUGUAGUCCAGGGUGGUACAAUACUGUCUGAUUUUCAGGAUAACUCACCCUGCCUUUGCUCUUACUCAUCUCUGUUUUAGAACCUUUAUCUGCUUUUGUCAAGAAUACUUACAAAGUACCAGAUGCCUUCUUUUUUGCUUUUCCAACAAACCCCACUGUUCCCCAAGAUCGUUUGCAAUCAGUGAAUCUUGUUGAACCGCUAUGCUAAGAGUUAAUCAAUCAAAAGUACAUUUUCUCCUUCUUGGAGAAAAGAAUAUUUAAUUCUGAACUUAAACACAGUGGUCAAGGAAGGAGGUAAAAGGUAAAUCAAACCAGUCUUGCCACUGGUGACCUGUCACAAUAUGAUAAUGGCCUCAAAAUGGUCACAGUAUUAUUGUUUUCUUACAAUAUGAUAAAGGGUACAUUGGAGUGGGUUUUUGUUUCUUUUAGUGUACAUGAGAAAUGAAUGACUAGGAGAGUUUUUUGUGAAGGUUUACUAAACUUUGCAAAGAACACAAAGAAAAUGAAAUCUUCCUUGUGUUAAAUUCAUUUAUCAUAUAAAACUUGGAAUGGUUCUUAUCUGCAUAUUAAAGAGUUUUGUCAUUCUUUUUGUUUCUUUUGUCUGAUUGGCUACUAGAUGAUGUCUUCUAGAAUAAAUGGAAAAAUUUUAAAUUACAGUACUUAAAAAAAUUGCCAGGUACUUUUGUAGCAAAACUGACAAAACAGAGACCAUUAUAUAAGCAGUGGGGGUGUAGGCUACAAGGGCUGAGAGAAAAAUUGUUUCUAUCCACUGCCCUAAAUUUAAACAGACCUACCAGUAUGUGUUUCCUUAGAGAGGGAAGAAUAUAACAUGGUACUGAUGAAUAUUUUCUGGAUUCAAAACAAGGCAGGAUUUUGAUGAAGAGAGAGAAUGCCUGGUCUGCACAUUAUGAGGAAUGGAGAUUUACAUUGUUUACUGUUUGUUGUCUGAGGAAAGGGGAGAUUUGAUGGCUGCUAUUAUUGUGGAAAGGAUGGUGGCCUCCACUCUUUGCUACUCUUUCUUUGACUCACUGUUUUCUCUAAAAUGCACACAUGCAUGUCAAUAGGCAUCUGCUGUAGCCCUCUCACACAAGGAGGAUUCAUGACUAUUAUGACCUGUAUAGUUGUGUCCACAUCAAAAUGCAUACAUUGAAAUAGAAUCUCCAGUAUAAUUGUGUUUAGGGAUGGUACAUAUCAAUGGGAUUUAGUUUAUGAAAAUGGAGAAGUCCUGAACAGGAUCUGUGCCUUCUAAGAAGUCAUAGUGCAAGCUUGGGCUCUUUCUAAAGUAGAUGAGGACUCACUUGUCCAGAACCUUUCCACUCUGCAUCCCGAUUGUGUGUUUGGGUUGCAGUCAUCCAGUAAUAAUUUACACACACACACACACACACACACACACACACACACACACACACACACGGGGUAGGGGAAGACAGAGAGAGGGAGGGAGAGUUUGUUCUAAUGGUCUUACAACAAUCUAUAACAGCAGGGCAGUUUGGGGGUGUCAACCAUCCAGUGUGUAUUAUGUGCAAAUGUGAUCCAUUCUAACUCACCCAGAGUGAUCCUCAGUAUACCUGGCCCAUGUCAGAACAUCUGAUCACUGCACAAAAAUGAUCAGGAAAUCAUUUCAACAUCUGUGAGCAGUCAUUUGCCCCAUUGCGGGGGUAGUUAGACCCUGAAGGCAAACUUUUUCAGUGACUCAAAGUUGGAAUUCUUGCUUUGACUGUGGCUCCUGCAUUUGUUUUGUUUCUUGAAUAAUUAUGCCCUAGGAAGAAGGGAAGAAAGGGGAGUUAGAGAAUUUGAGGCUUUCUCUGGGAAGAUGGAACUGGAGAAGGAAAGAAUGCCAGUAGUACCUGGAACUGAACACUCCCCACCAAGCCCAGUGCAGCUACUGUGACCAACCAGCUUUCUAGCUGAGGUCUUUGACAGGUAACCACCACUGCUGUCAGUUCCUGGAUGCAAUGGACUUGUCAUGUUCCAAAGACUUUAUUUGGGAGCUGCCUUCCACAUGUUCUGUAUCAUCCAGUCUUCCUGCCCUCUGCCAUGAUAUCUUCUGAGCCUUGAAGAGAAGGCCUAUGAUGCAAAUGUCUCAAUUCAAGCUGAUUUUGGAAUGAGAGAUUAUAUUGAACUAUCUUGAUAUGUGCAGGUUCAUCAUAUCAUAAUCAUCUUUAUAAAUAUAGGAAUGAAGCCAAAUGUCAUAGUUAGAGUGAGAUUUGAGAGUACUGGAUCCCUGACUCCAAUAUAGAGGAGUGAGCUGUGACCCUAGGAACAUAGAUGGUUUCUAAAGGAUUCUAAAGGCAAGUAAGUAAGGAAAACAGAUCUAUUGACAUUUACAUUGUUGUUGACUAAAUCCACAACUUGGUGCUUAUUUGUUGUAAUUGUAUUAGCAAACUAAUUUGGAUUUUUGAAAGCUUUCUAUUAGAUUAAAAUUAUUGUAAAAUGAGCUUUGAAAAUAAGUCUCUGGAGAAUAUUACUGAAAAUGAGAGUCAUCUUUUAAGUUCUGUUUUCUGAAAUCUCAGAGGCAGAGUUUUUAGUUACAACUAUGAAAUGGCCAUAAAAAAUGGGG